GUUAUAAUAGUUUAAAUUAAAACCUUGGUCUUGUAAAUCAAAAUUAGAUAAUCAAUCUUUAUAACU
rnacentral:tRNA from 1 species